rnacentral:rRNA from 1 species
ACGAGAGAGGAUCGGUGCUUGCACUGAUCCAAUCGAGUGGCGGACGGGUGAGUAACGCGUGGGUAACCUGCCUCAUACAGGGGAAUAACAGUUGGAAACGGCUGCUAAAACCGCAUAAGCGCACAGUAUCGCAUGAUACAGUGUGAAAAACUCCGGUGGUAUGAGAUGGACCCGCGUCUGAUUAGCUAGUUGGUGAGGUAACGGCCCACCAAGGCAACGAUCAGUAGCCGGCCUGAGAGGGUGAACGGCCACAUUGGGACUGAGACACGGCCCAAACUCCUACGGGAGGCAGCAGUGGGGAAUAUUGCACAAUGGGGGAAACCCUGAUGCAGCGACGCCGCGUGAGUGAUGAAGUAUUUCGGUAUGUAAAGCUCUAUCAGCAGGGAAGAUAAUGACGGUACCUGACUAAGAAGCACCGGCUAAAUACGUGCCAGCAGCCGCGGUAAUACGUAUGGUGCAAGCGUUAUCCGGAUUUACUGGGUGUAAAGGGUGCGUAGGUGGUGAGACAAGUCUGAAGUGAAAAUCCGGGGCUUAACCCCGGAACUGCUUUGGAAACUGCCUGACUAGAGUACAGGAGAGGUAAGUGGAAUUCCUAGUGUAGCGGUGAAAUGCGUAGAUAUUAGGAGGAACACCAGUGGCGAAGGCGACUUACUGGACUGCUACUGACACUGAGGCACGAAAGCGUGGGGAGCAAACAGG